ensembl:processed_transcript Gm10030 predicted gene 10030
AUGUGGUCCACAGAGAGAAGAGCCUCAGCCUGGCUCUGAGUCCACAUGCAAGGAAGGGGGACCAUGCACAGAAGAGGAGACGGAAGAUGCCUGGUGGGACAAUGUAGGAGGUUUCCUCCCUGGUUUCAGAGCAGGCUGCUGCAGUGCUGGGACUACAAACAUGCCACCAUGCCCAGACUUAUUUCUUUCCAUAUGGAGUUGGAGAUCAAACUCAGGCCUCCACACUUGCGAGGUCACCUCCCUCCCCCAGCUUCCACCUGCCUUUAGCAAGGGACACCUUCCAUGA